GAGGUUUUAGUACCUUGCCCAAAGUCACCUAGCUCAUAAGUGAUGGAGUCAGAAUUUUCAUGGAGCCUAAAUUUCUGAACCCAGCAUCAAGGCUCUUCCCAACUGGACCACAGCCUUCCUUAAUGUUCUCAAAACACUCUCCUCCUCAUCGCGACCACCCUUGAGAACCUCGGACUACGCACCAUGCAGGUUCUUGCCUUUGUUUCUUGCUUUCCAAUGUGAUUUGAUGCAUGUAUGCGUAGUCGGGAAUCUUACGCGCCCAAAGUGACGUUCAGUCUCUGUUCCAGAUUCCAGAGGAGCUUCCUGCCAUAGCACUAUGACUAUGGAUAAGUGUUUGGAGAUAUGUUUCAUCAUAAUUACUCUCAUUUACACUGACAAUGAGCAUUGAAUAAAAUUGCUAAAUU